UAAAAUUGUGCAUAGAGUUAGAGUUAGGGCAAAAUCAAAUUAAUUCCCAUGACCAUCCAAGACUUUGAAACCUCCAAAAAGCAUUCUUUAUUCUGAUGAUGAUAUCCGACUUUCCUUAAUUAAUUCAUUAGCAUUUAAUUUAUGUGUUGAAUCAAAGUUUCAUUUGUAGUGCUGCAUUGCACGCCUUAGCCGCUCCUCCUUGUUCUUCUUCCUCCUUUUCAUUUGUCUUUGGGUUCUUGAAAAUUCUUGUAAAGGAGAAGAAGGAAGAGGAUCCCAGUUCAAUGAGGGAUUGAGGAUUGUUUUCUUCGAGGAGGUCUCUGUUGAACGAUAGUUCUGGACAAAUUUGAAGAUGUCUGAAGCGCAAGAUCGAGUAGAGAUCAAGUUUAGGCUGACUGAUGGAUCAGUUAUUGGCCCGAAAAGCUUUCCCGUGGCCACGAGUAUAGCAAGCUUGAAGGAGUAUAUCAUAGCUCAGUGGCCUAAAUCUGAUUCCCUCCUUGUGUAGUUGUUGAUGCAACAUAAUUUGUAGCCAUGAUUCAUGUAUGAUGAACAUGAGCAAACACUUUGAAUGUCAAUUCCUAGAUUAGCUGAUUAGGUUCCUCAGAAUCUGAUGUUUCUUGCAUUCUACUGUGUUAUCUCUGGCGUGCAGUGGAGUAAAUACAAGAUAGUGGUGCUAUUCUGAUUA